AGUGAAUACCCCUUGGAUUUUAUAUGGCUAGAAUCUCGAUGCAAAAAAAAUGCCUUUUUGCUACGAUUCAGUGGUGGUUGAUACGUAGAUUUAGGUGUCCAUGUACCCCCAUCUUUUGGGUAGGUAUCUUGACACUCAGUAGUCACAUCUCCCAUCUAGAGCCACUCCGCUGACAGUCAAAGUCUUUGUAUAUGUUUAAUGUGAAUUGCAAAGAUAUAUUGACAAACUAUCUAUGUAUGAUUUGAAUUAUGGUGCUAAUAUGAGCAUUCACUUGGGUUUUUUGAGUUA